UACACUGGAAUUGUACCGGCAUAUGCUGUCUGCUCCUAAUCCUCUUCCGUGGCAUAUCCAAGUUAGAUGCUUAUAGCUACCUAUAUAUAGCCUUCCAUUUUAUGAUGAUAGACUCAGACACAAAUUUGGUGCUGGAAAUGCAUGUGAUAUAUAUAUGUGCUGUUGAGGAAUGAUAGGGCAAAUCUCCUAUUGGCAGAGAGAAGUAGAGGGCUUGAACAUGCAUGCUUCUGGUUUGCCAAAGGAGAUUUGCCCUGCCAUUUUUUGACAGUUUGUGGCUAAUACAUUAUGGAUAAGGAGGAGUUUCAAUUUUAUGUGACAUGAUGAUCAAAAUGAGAUAAAGAUAUAUAACAAUCAGAGAUUCAUCAAGACAAUUUCCAGCAUUUCCAGUAUCGUCUAGUGUCAUGAGAAGCCAUAAUAAGAUGCGUAUGCAUAUUAUACUGAGAUGAAGUUAGCAAAAAGAGAAGCUUCAGACAUCAACAUCGUUUUCUGCACUGCUAAUGUACUUUUAUUAGAGAGCAAUGUUGCGCCUAUCUUACCUCUUCUAAUUACUCAACUCUCGAGAAAUCUUUAAAUCUCAAAAUUUAUCA